AUACGGAGGAUGCGAGCGUUAUCCGGAUUUAUUGGGUUUAAAGGGUGCGUAGGCGGGUCGCCAAGUCAGGGGUGAAAUCCCGGAGCCUAACUCCGGAACUGCCUUUGAUACUGGCGGUCUUGAAUUCUGGUGCCGGGGGAGGAAUUGGUAGUUUAGCGGUGAAAUGCAUAGAUAUUAAUUAGAAAACCGGUUGCGAAGGCAUCUCACGAAUCCGCGAUUGACGCUGAGGCACGAAAGCGUGGGGAUCAAACAGGAUUAGAUACCCUGGUAUUCCACGCCGUAAACGAUGAUGACUAACCGUCGGCGAUAGACAGCCGGUGGCCAAGCGAAAGCGAUAAGUCAUCCACCUGGGGAGUACGUCGGCAACGAUGAAACUCAAAUGAAUUGACGGGG
rnacentral:rRNA from 1 species